rnacentral:misc_RNA from 1 species
AUUCGCCUGAAGCAGUCGUCGUAUCGGUUCUUCUCCGCCGUGAAGUAAAAGUAUCUGAAAACCAGAAUAUCAACAGAAUAUUUCGCAUUCCUCAGUGUCUCAAGAGAAUUUUCUUUUGAAGCGCCCUGGGCCUUGACGAGUGCCAAACCAAAUACUUUCGUUUGUUCCAAGUGCCAAGUUUUGGUCCCUGCCUUUGACUGGCAAACAAUUCAAUUCAACUGGAGACAAGACAAGUGUUUAAAUAAGACAAGCAUCGUCUGGGCACCCUCCUGCUCCCUCCAUUAGUCAGAGCACCGCAUCGCAUCGCACCGCCAACGAACAGGAAACAGACCAGCCCGAGCAAACUCUUGUGGCAUAAUGUGGAAAAUAAAACACGACUCUGUGGCAGCAACCACCCUUCGAACCCUUCAAACCGCAACGUUCCUGGAGACAUAGACGCCCCUGGGGGAAGCAAAAGUGGCAAACAUUUCGACAAAAAGCGGACUAGCGGAAACGGAAGUGGCCGAAAGCGAGCCCAUAAAGAGACACGCACCCAAAAAGCACCAACACACAGACUACAACUACAAGAGUGGAAGGAAUAGCAGAGGAAUCACAGAGAGAUAUAAAGGACAGCAACAUCUACCCCGUAAAAACAUGUACGCCGCCCUAAUGGACAUGAGCCAGUCUUUGGCAGCCAGUCUGGCAUAUGCCCCCCUGGAUCUGAGCGGAGUCGGUGUCUCCAAUGGGGGGAACGCUAGUGACAGUGGGAGUGGGGGCAACGACAGCCUCGACGCCGACGCGGGGUCAUCUUUGGGUCAGCAUAAUGCCAGCGGCAAUGGGCCGUAUGUGCCCGUCCUGGAACGCCCGGAGACUUACAUUGUCACCGUGCUGUACACGCUCAUCUUCAUCGUGGGCGUCCUGGGCAACGGCACACUGGUCAUCAUCUUCUUUCGGCAUCGUUCCAUGCGGAACAUACCCAACACGUACAUAUUAUCGCUGGCUCUGGCCGAUCUGCUCGUGAUUCUGGUGUGCGUGCCCGUGGCCACGAUUGUGUACACGCAGGAGAGCUGGCCCUUUGAGCGGAACAUGUGUCGCAUCACCGAGUUCUUCAAAGACAUCUCCAUCGGAGUCUCCGUCUUCACGCUGACGGCCCUGUCCGGUGAGCGCUACUGUGCCAUUGUGAAUCCCCUAAGAAAGCUGCAGACCAAGCCGCUGACCGUCUUUACGGCGGUGAUCAUCUGGAUCAUGGCCAUUCUGCUGGGCAUGCCCUCGUUCCUGGUCUCUGACAUCAUCGUCUACCCGGUGACUACGCCCGCCGGAAACAGCACCAUCAGAGUCUGCUCGCCCUUCCGCUCCAAGAUUUAUGCAAAGUGAGUUCCGAACUCAAAGUUUUUCUAGGCCCUCCUUACGUCGCCGGCAGCAAUCAAUUUGCCAAUUUGGCAUCUGUUCGGCUCAUUUGGCUUUAUUUAGUCUACGGAUAAUGCUACAGGGCAGGCCAGGCCAGGCCCACAGGACAAGGUGUCCAAUCAAGCAGAAGUGCCAGGCCACUUGACUGAAUCCGUUCCCUUUGGCUGGGAGUAGAGUGGUGGUAACUCGAAGGUGACGCUCGGGAGGAGGAGAUUCCAAAUUUAUGAUGACUGUGGGGCCGUUAGAGUAAAACUUUGCCAUCUUAUCUUUGCUCAAGCAGAAGCCGCAGAAGCUUCAGGGCGCUGGAAGGGGAAAUCGGAAGCCAUCAGACGGCAUUAAUCAUUAAUGCCCGUGCCCGUGCCACAUGCCCCACAUGUAAACGAACCAGGGCCAUCCAAUGCAACUUUCACUUUCACCUGCUGCUCCUUUUGCUCCUUUUACCCGAAGCCCUGCCUGGGAAAUCCUUUCGUGCAGCAGUGCGUCAGCUGUUGCCACCACAUAAUCCGUCUGUGAUCCCAAGCAUGGUAGGAGUCUUUUGUUUCAAGCUUCUGAUGCUGGCACGUGCUUCGGACCGCAAUAAGACCCAAGAAAAAUGGCAUGAAAAUGGGGAAAGCUGAAAGCUUGUCAGACGAGCGUUGCGGAGCCAUACACAUACACUUUUCAGCUUUUUUUAUGACCAUGCGAAACGCUUAGGCGUAAUUGAAUGUCCUCCAUCCGGACUCGUAUAUGAGCGGGGAAUGCUAGGAAUUUGCCAAAAUCCUCUUAUUAAAAUUGAAACGAUUUCCGGAGGGGGACGGCCCACUCAAAAGUACUCAAGGCAACUCCUACGAUACUCGUACUAUACGAUCUGAGGGACACCCCCAAGGGACAGGAGAAAUUAAUCAACUUUGGACAUGAGAUCCUGUCUCCAAGUAACCAAACCUUUGGUCCUUGUUCUGGUCUGGUCUCUCUUC